UGGUGGUGCAUGGCCGUUCUUAGUUGGUGGAGUGAUUUGUCUGGUUAAUUCCGGUAACGAACGAGACCUCGGCCGUCUAACUAGCUUUUCGCUCGCGGCUUGCCGUCGAGCGCUGGCGCCUCUGGGCGCUGUGAGCUUCUUAGAGGGACAAUCUGUGYUAACAGAAGGAAGAGUGAGGCAAUAACAGGUCAGUGAUGCCCUUAGAUGCUCUGGGCUGCACGCGCGCUACAAUGGUGCAUUCAGCGAGUUCCUGGCCCGAAAGGGUCUGGGCAAUCAGCAAAGUGCAUCUCGGUCGGGAUAGAUGAUUGCAAUUCU
rnacentral:rRNA from 1 species